rnacentral:rRNA from 1 species
GACGAACCGAGCGAACGUUGUUCGGAAUCACUGGGCUUAAAGGGCGCGUAGGCGGGCUGCCGCGUCCGGGGUGAAAUCCCACGGCUCAACCGUGGAACUGCCCCGGAUACGGGCGGCCUCGAGGGGGGUAGGGGCAUCUGGAACUGUGAGUGGAGCGGUGAAAUGCGUUGAUAUUCACAGGAACUCCGGUGGCGAAGGCGAGGUGCUGGACCCCUCCUGACGCUGAGGCGCGAAAGCCAGGGGAGCAAACGGG